AAGUUCUGAACGGCGAUUUCGGGGGUUUGAGGGGUCAAUUGUCCCCUGUGUUGGAAUGUGUUCCUAAAUCUACACAAACACUCCCUAAGCUUAUCCUAAACUUAUAAAUAUUGGUUGCUAUUUAAACCCCAUUUCACGGUUAUCCAGCACGCCCCUGAACUGUGACCCACAUCCCCGAUUUUAGUGACUAGUUUUAUACUUAUCGUGGUUGGCAUUUGGUACACUACACUUUCUUAUUCACCUAGAUCGCCGACUCCGCGCACGGUCGCGCUCCCGUUCCCGCUCCCGAUCUCGGCUGCGACUGCGGUCGCGAUCCCGUUCCCGGUCGCGGCGACCGGCGCCUCCAGAUCCGGAUCCUCCGGCUGGCGCUACUCCGAUGGCCUCCCGCUCCCGGGAACGGCGCUCCCUGCGCUUCUUCCGCUCGGAUCGCUCCUUCUCGCGUCUCCUGUGCGCCGGCGAGGCGGGACUUCGGCUGCGGCCCAUGGCUCCGUUUCGGUCUCUGCUUGUGUGGCGGUUUGAGUGAUUGAUGAUGGUUUGCCUGCAGUGGAUUUGAGCGGAUGUUAGACUCCAUGUACUCCAAUUGCACCGCACGCAUCCCGCUUACCGUUGCACUAGGCUGUGUCUAGCAUUAUUUGGGCGACACCGGCGGUGGGUAAAAACGCGCUAACUUAAAACUAAAACCAAAUAAACAACGCGCGUUAUCUCGCCGCGACGCCGAAACGGAAUGAGGAAUGCAGAAUGCGGAUGAUGAUGCGAGGGAUGCGAUGCAAGGGCAAAACAUGGCCACCUAUCGGAUAUCGAUUGAUGGUCGAUUUUAUCUUCGAUAAAAAUGUAUCCUAUGUAUAUCGCAUACCGAAUGUUUAAAUCGAUCUGUUUCCUUUUGAAUAUGAACUAUGUAUAUAUAUUAAUUAAUAUUUUUUAAUAGCAUUACCUAUAUUAUAUUUCAAAUUAUGCCCGGACUAUGAUAAAUUUAACAAAUUCAUAAUUACAAAUCUUUCGUCAAUACCACUUCCAUAAAUAGUUUAAAAUAUCAAAAUAUUACGAACUUUGCCAAUAUAAACGUUAUAUUUUCUACAUUUACACAGUUUCUUCUUUUUUUUUUUGAAGCUAUUAAACCACAUAUUUGCUCACGAUCGCAGCUGAAAUGAACUACUAUGUUGGAUCUUCUAGU
ensembl:ncRNA asRNA:CR45928 antisense RNA:CR45928